rnacentral:ncRNA from 1 species
GCUAUAUAUUAAAGACGAAUUAAAUAAAGUGUUCUUGGAAAAAUCCAUUUUUUAAACGAAGCGAAUUGAAAUAUCUUAGUAGCUUCAGGAAUAAAAAUCAAAUGAGAUUCCAUAAUUAGCUAUAACUGUUAUGGAAAAGCCUUUAAAGUAAAACGGAUAUAAUCUGUUUGAAUUUAGGGAAACCUUUCUCUAAGGCUAAAUAUGAUAUAUAAGCGAUAGCGAAGCAGUACCGUGAGGGAA